rnacentral:rRNA from 1 species
GACGAACGCUGGCGGCGCGCUUCAUACAUGCAAGUCGAACGGGGUCCAAUCAGUGGCAACACUGAGGAAGAUCUAGUGGCGAACGGGUGAGUAACACGUGAGGAACCUAUCCCGGUCUCUGGAAUAACAGGUGGAAACACCUGCUAAUACCGGAUGCCGUCAUCACCUCUCCUGGGGAGAUGACGAAAGAUUUAUCGGAUCGGGCGGGCCUCGCGGCCUAUCAGCUAGUUGGUGGGGCUAACGGCCUACCAAGGGCAUCGACGGGUAGCUGGUCUGAGAGGAUGAUCAGCCACACUGGGACUGAGACACGGCCCAGACUCCUACGGGAGGCAGCAGUAGGGAAUCUUGCGCAAUGGGCGAAAGCCUGACGCAGCAACGCCGCGUGCGGGGAAGAAAGGCUCUCGGGUUGUAAACCGCUUUCAGUAGGAACGAAUUUGGACGGUACCUGCAGAAGAAGGUGCGGCCAACUACGUGCCAGCAGCCGCGGUGGCACGUAGGCACCAAGCGUUGUCCGGAUUUAUGGGCGUAAAGAGCUCGUAGGCGGUUCAGUAAGUCGGGUGUGAAAACUCAGGGCUCAACCCUGAGCGGCCACCCGAUACUGCUGUGACUUGAGUCCGGUAGGGGAGUGGGGAAUUCCUGGUNUAGCGGUGAAAUGCGCAGAUAUCGGGAGGAACACCGGUGGCGAAGGCGCCACUCUGGGCCGAGACUGACGCUGA